rnacentral:misc_RNA from 1 species
GAAAUGCGAUAACUAAUGUGAAUUGCAGAAUUCAGUGAAUCAUCGAGUCUUUGAACGCACAUUGCGCCCCCUGGUAUUCCGGGGGGCAUGCCUGUCCGAGCGUCAUUGCUGCCCUCAAGCCCGGCUUGUGUGUUGGGCCGCCGUCCCCCCUCCCCGGGGGGACGGGCCCGAAAGGCAGCGGCGGUACCGCGUCCGGUCCUCGAGCGUAUGGGGCUUUGUCACCCGCUCUGUAGGCCCGGCCGGUGCCCGCCGACACCCCAACCAUUUUUUUUCAGGUUGACCUCGGAUCAGGUAGGGAUACCCGCUGAACUUAA